GCCUGGAUAGCUCAGUUUGUUAGACCAUGGUGCUGCUACUGCCUAGGUUACAGGUUCAAUCCCUGUAUGGGACA